rnacentral:rRNA from 1 species
CGUUGAUUACGUCCCUGCCCGUUGUACACACCGCCCGUCGCUACUACCGAUUGAAUGGAUCAGUGAGGCUUUCGGACUGGCUUAGAGAGGUCGGCAACGACCACUCAUGGCCGGAAAGUUAUCCAAACUCGGUCAUUUAGAGGUAGUAAAAGUCGUAACAAGG